rnacentral:rRNA from 1 species
GCAGUCGAGCGACAGAUGAGGAGCUUGCUCCUCUGACGUUAGCGGCGGACGGGUGAGUAACACGUGGGCAACCUGCCCUUAAGACUGGGAUAACUCCGGGAAACCGGGGCUAAUACCGGAUAAUUGAAAGAACCUCCUGGUUCUUUUAUGAAAGGCGGCUUCGGCUGUCACUUAAGGAUGGGCCCGCGGCGCAUUAGCUAGUUGGUGAGGUAACGGCUCACCAAGGCAACGAUGCGUAGCCGACCUGAGAGGGUGAUCGGCCACACUGGGACUGAGACACGGCCCAGACUCCUACGGGAGGCAGCAGUAGGGAAUCUUCCGCAAUGGACGAAAGUCUGACGGAGCAACGCCGCGUGAGUGAAGAAGGUUUUCGGAUCGUAAAGCUCUGUUGUCAGGGAAGAACAAGUACCAUAGUAACUGAUGGUACCUUGACGGUACCUGACCAGAAAGCCACGGCUAACUACGUGCCAGCAGCCGCGGUAAUACGUAGGUGGCAAGCGUUGUCCGGAAUUAUUGGGCGUAAAGCGCGCGCAGGUGGUUCCAAAAGUCUGAUGUGAAAGCCCCCGGCUCAACCGGGGAGGGUCAUUGGAAACUGGGGAACUUGAGUGCAGGAGAGGAAAGUGGAAUUCCACGUGUAGCGGUGAAAUGCGUAGAUAUGUGGAGGAACACCAGUGGCGAAGGCGACUUUCUGGCCUGUAACUGACACUGAGGCGCGAAAGCGUGGGGAGCAA